AUGCACGCUGGCGGCGUGCCUAAUACCUGCCAGUCGAGCGAACGGACGAGAAGCUUGCUUCUCUAAUGUUAGCGGCGGACGGGUGAGUAACACGUGGAUAACCUACCUAUAAGACUGGGAUAACUUCGGGAAACCGUAGCUAAUACCGGAUAAUAUUUUGAACCGCAUGGUUCAAAAGUGAAAGACGGUCUUGCUGUCACUUAUAGAUGGAUCCGCGCUGCAUUAGCUAGUUGGUAAGGUAACGGCUUACCAAGGCAACGAUGCAUAGCCGACCUGAGAGGGUGAUCGGCCACACUGGAACUGAGACACGGUCCAGACUCCUACGGGAGGCAGCAGUAGGGAAUCUUCCGCAAUGGGCGAAAGCCUGACGGAGCAACGCCGCGUGAGUGAUGAAGGUCUUCGGAUCGUAAAACUCUGUUAUUAGGGAAGAACAUAUGUGUAAGUAACUGUGCACAUCUUGACGGUACCUAAUCAGAAAGCCACGGCUAACUACGUG
rnacentral:rRNA from 1 species